GCGGCGGGCCUAACACAUGCAAGUCGAACGAGAAUCUCUUCGGAGAGGAAAGUGGCGCACGGGUGCGUAACACGUGGAUAACCAACCCCCUGGUUCGGGAUAACAUCGGGAAACUGGUGCUAAUACCGGGUGUGUCUGCGAGGCCGUCAGGUCUUGCAGAGAAAGACACGCAAGGGUCGCCAGGGGACGGGUCCGCGACCCAUCAGCUAGUUGGUGAGGUAAUGGCUCACCAAGGCGAAGACGGGUAGCUGGUCUGAGAGGAUGAUCAGCCACACUGGAACUGAGACACGGUCCAGACUCCUACGGGAGGCAGCAGUGGGGAAUAUUGCGCAAUGGGCGAAAGCCUGACGCAGCCACGCCGCGUGAGCGAUGAAGGUCUUCGGAUCGUAAAGCUCUGUGGGGGGAGAAGAAGAAAGCCGGUGAAGAGCCGGCCUUGACGGUAUCCCCUUAGCAAGCACCGGCUAACUCCGUGCCAGCAGCCGCGGUAA
rnacentral:rRNA from 1 species